rnacentral:piRNA from 1 species
UACACAGGUUUUCCGCCAAAA